UCAGGACUGGGACUGAGACAAGCUCAGCGGGGCUGGCGCUAACAGUGAUGAUCCCAAACCACUCUUCAAUAUCAUUCUCAGGAAACAACAUCUACAGGGCAGAAGUUAGCUUUUCAAGUGACUUCAUAAUCAACAUCUAACAGCCAUUACCAUCAAACCAUGUCAUCAAAGGCCUGGAGAACCAUCAGGUCUGGUACCAACCAUUCACAGCAUCUGCUGGUCUGCACUUGGGCUGUGAUCCACAGCAGCUGCAGGCAGAAAUUAAUGUGAAGACAAGAGGAAAAGAAAAAAAAGACAAGAG
rnacentral:lncRNA from 1 species